rnacentral:rRNA from 1 species
GCCUAGCCCUAAACCUUGGUAAUAUAUCACAUACCCUACCCGCCUGGGAACUACGAGCACCAGCUUAAAACCCAAAGGACUUGGCGGUGCUUUAGACCCCCCUAGAGGAGCCUGUUCUAGAACCGAUAACCCCCGUUCAACCUCACCCUUCCUUGUUUAUCCCGCCUAUAUACCGCCGUCGUCAGCUUACCCUGUGAAGGCCUAAAAGUAAGCACAACUGGCACAACCCAAAACGUCAGGUCGAGGUGUAGCGCAUGGAGGGGGAAGAAAUGGGCUACAUUCCCUAUAUUAGGGAACACGAACGGCGCACUGAAACACGCGCCUGAAGGAGGAUUUAGUAGUAAGCGGAAAAUAGCGUGUUCCACUGAAAUCGGCCCUGAAGCGCGC